rnacentral:rRNA from 1 species
AUUGAACGCUGGCGGCAGGCUUAACACAUGCAAGUCGAGCGGAGAUGAGGUGCUUGCACCUUAUCUUAGCGGCGGACGGGUGAGUAAUGCUUAGGAAUCUGCCUAUUAGUGGGGGACAACAUUCCGAAAGGAAUGCUAAUACCGCAUACGUCCUACGGGAGAAAGCAGGGGAUCUUCGGCCCUUGCGCUAAUAGAUGAGCCUAAGUCGGAUUAGCUAGUGGGUGGGGUAAAGGCCUACAAAGGCGACGAUCUGUAGCGGGUCUGAGAGAAGGAUCCGCCACACUGGGACUGAGACACGGCCCAGACUCCUACGGGAGGCAGCAGUGGGGAAUAUUGGACAAUGGGGGGAACCCUGAUCCAGCCAUGCCGCGUGUGUGAAGAAGGCCUUAUGGUUGUAAAGCACUUUAAGCGAGGAGGAGGCUACUGAGACUAAUACUCUUGGAUAGUGGACGUUACUCGCAGAAUAAGCACCGGCUAACUCUGUGCCAGCCGCCGCCGUAACAC